UACGUAGGGGGCAAGCGUUGUCCGGAAUCAUUGGGCGUAAAGCGCGCGUAGGCGGCCCGGUAAGUCCGCUGUGAAAGUCAAAGGCUCAACCUUUGAAUGUCAGCGGAUACUGCCGGGCUAGAGUCCGGAAGAGGCGAGUGGAACUCCUGGUGUAGCGGUGGAAUGCGCAGAUAUCAGGAAGAACACCAACGGCGAAGGCAGCUCGCUGGGACGGAACUGACGCUAAGGCGCGAAAGCGUGGGGGAGCGAUCCGG
rnacentral:rRNA from 1 species